CCCGAGUUGGUGUAGUGGUAACACAUCCAUUGCCAACAGGUAGGUUCUGAACUUACCUGCCCUCCGGGGGGUGGAAGACCUAGGUUCAAGUCCUAGACUUGGGG